UACGUAGGCAGCGAGCGUUGUUCGGAGUUACUGGGCGUAAAGAGUGCGUAGGCGGUUUUCUAAGGUUGGUGUGAAAUCUCCCGGCUUAACUGGGAGGGUGCGCCGAAAACUGGAAGGCUUGAGUAUGGGAGAGGUAAGCGGAAUUCCUGGUGUAGCGGUGAAAUGCGUAGAUAUCAGGAGGAACACCUGCGGUGUAGACGGCUUACUGGACCAUAACUGACGCUGAGGCACGAAAGCGUGGGUAGCAAACAGG
rnacentral:rRNA from 1 species